CCCCGCGCCGUGAGGGGAGGGUCGGGGGAGGCGCGGAGCGGGCGGGCGGUUCUCCCGGAAGGGCCGGCAGCUUGGGCCCCCGAGGGACCUCCAGCCUUGCAGAGCCCGGGGUAGGAUUGUGUCCCCGACCUUCACCCUCCACCGUCAAGUACUCCCUGUCUCUGAGCCCGUGGACCAGCUGCCAUGCUUGCACUGAUGUUUUUCCUAUGAGAGAAACAGGUUUGGGCUCUUGUGUCUCUAUCCAAAGUGCACAAAUGGAUGGUAAACCAAGAAGCAUUUAUGUGUAAAGACAACAGCGCGUUUGCACCAGCCUCCAUGCAUUUCCUGUUCUUCCUUGUACCCUACAGCCAUUCGAACUUUCCACUCAAGGCCCUGCAAGAACGCUCACAGCCAGAUUAAUGACCUCAAAGACCCCUCAGAUGAACCUGAGAACCAUAUCUUUGCACACCCUCUCCAUUGAGUAAAUUCUGUUCAGUAACGUCCUUGGCCAGACCUCCUGCUUUGUGAAACAUUUCCUGACAACCAGCCAAGUAGCCAACUCCAUCCAUCCAUCUCAUCAGCAUUUAUGGAGGCCAAGCUCUGGGCCUCUUAUACAACAUACACAUGGUAGGUGAUCGAGAAACAGUUACCAGCUGGCUAAGUGGCAUAGUCACACACGUUUUAUCCCUUAGUUAGAUUAUAAGAUCUUUGCGGGAGGGGUCAAAAUCUUAUCCAUCUCUGCACUGCCCUAGCAACUAGCACGCUGGCCUGGAGCGUAGCAGGCAUUUGGUAAUAUCUGAAGACAUAUGUGCCAUAAGGAGUGCCCCAGAGAAGCAACAGAUACCGAGUUUCAAUCUAGUUCUAUGUCUGGAAGCAGGACCCCUCCUCCCCCAACGCUAAGUGAUGCAGAGGAAUGGAGAGGCAGCGCCAGAGAACAGAGAGCAGAGCCCUUACUCAGUCCUGCAAGCCAGGAGCAUUUCACCGACCCUUCGACCUGGAGGCUCUGCUCAGGAUUCAGCCGAAGCUACGUCUAGGACCCAGCUGUAUCCGUGUGACCUUGUGAGUGAAACCCAACCUGAUUCUGAUUCCGAAUUCCAAGCUCUAGAAUAACAACGGUUACCAUGUACUGAGGGGCUCUCUGAGCCGAGCACGGCCAAGUGCUUCAUACCCAUGGCCUCCUUCCAGCCUCACAACGCUGUGGAGUCCCUGCUGUGCUGUUCUAGUCUUUCCCCGUCACUCCUGGAACUUCUGGGCACAGAAAGUGAAGAUGGAUGAGCAGAGACAGUGGGGAGACUGAGGCAAGACCUUGUGGGAACUGCGCUGUGCAAUCUGACAGAGCUGGGCAGCUCUGCACUUAGUUGCGGGGUGAUUUCAGAGCUUGGCAUGGGGCCUAGCAGAGAACAGAAGCUCCAUGACCGUUAAAGGAGUGAAGAGAAAUGAAUCCUGACCUCUGAAGUAGGAGGUAGGAGGAGGUGAUCUCAACAAAACUCCAGUCCCAAACGCCCAGAGAAGUCAGGUGGUGAACAGAGUAAAAACAUGACCUCUA